rnacentral:lncRNA from 1 species
AUUUCUAGUAGAAUUUUCUUUUGUUCGUCUAAGAAUCAAUUGAUUCUUAAUUCUAAGCUUGAAGUGUAACUGCAUUUUUAUGCUAUUUUUAACAAAGUCUGUAAGCUCUGCCAGAAGGAGACGCUUUGCCUCUUGGAGGAAGCCGCUUCACUGAGCACCCAGCAGUCAUGAAUCAUUCCCCUUCAAUACACAAGCUGUGCUCCUGAAGUUUACCAAAGAUGGACCAAAAAACACUUAAGGAAAUUACACUGGAAUUUGAAGGGGCAGAGGAGAUGCUGGUCAGCCAGAGGAUACAGGGGAAGAACAGAAAAGGCAUAACAAGAGGGAAGAAGAGGUGACUGGAGAAAGAGAGACAUAUUCACGCCACAGUGAGCAGAAGAGUUACACUGGAGCAAUGGCU